AGGCACACAUCCACAGAGCACUCUUCAAAUCAUCUACACAGUGGUUAUCCAACUAGGAUUAUAAAGGUACACAUUGACAUAGACCACUGUUGCAGUCAACGACACAGUCGCUAUCCAAGUAGCAUUUAUAGAGCUGUCAUGCAACGCAACAACUGUGCUAUCUGCCAUCGCACAUCAACGAAGAAGUGCAGCCGCCCACAUUCCACCUCACGUCUGUCCGACCAGCUGCAAUCCUCGAGGACGCCCCACUGUACCACGAUUUCACUACGAUGUUUGACAAGAAGGAGCAGUGCGCGAGAUAGGCAAAUGAGCAGACUUCCCUCGCUUGAGUUUCGGAAGAAUGUUCCAUAUCGCGCUAAGCUGACCACUGCUGACCAUGACAGGCGUGCAUUGGACUGGUACAGGUUGGAACUGAACAUUGAAUAUGCUGGUGGUGACGCUUUCUGAUGAGAAGUUGGUCGUGACUGAUGCAGUAUCCUUGGACUUGUCCACAGCAUCGUUCAAUCAUUGCUCUCUGUGCUGCCUUGAUUCUGUACUUACCCAAAUACUAAGACCAAAUGCCUGUUGACUGU